CCUACGGGUGGCAGCAGUGGGGGAUAUUGCACAAUGGGGGGAACCCUGAUGCAGCGACGCCGCGUGGGUGAAGGAGUGCUUCGGCAUGUAAAGCCCUAUCGGCAGGGAAGAAGCAAGACGGUACCUGACUAAGAAGCCCCGGCUAACUACGUGCCAGCAGCCGCGGUAAUACGUAGGGGGCGAGCGUUAUCCGGAUUCACUGGGUGUAAAGGGAGCGUAGACGGCCAUGCAAGCCAGGGGUGAAAGCCCGGGGCCCAACCCCGGGACUGCCCUUGGAACUGUGCGGCUAGAGUGCGGGAGGGGCAGGCGGAAUUCCUGGUGUAGCGGUGAAAUGCGUAGAUAUCAGGAGGAACACCGGCGGCGAAGGCGGCCUGCUGGACCGCGACUGACACUAAGGCACGAAAGCGUAGGGAGCAAACGGGAUUAGAUACCCGGGUAGUC
rnacentral:rRNA from 1 species